UAGGGAAUUUUCCGCAAUGGGCGAAAGCCUGACGGAGCAACGCCGCGUGAGUGAGGACGGCCUUCGGGUUGUAAAACUCUGUUCUUGAGGAAGAAUCCCGUUGAUGUGAACAGCAUCGACGGUUGACGGUACUCAAGGAGAAAGCCCCGGCUAACUACGUGCCAGCAGCCGCGGUAAUACGUAGGGGGCAAGCGUUAUCCGGAAUUAUUGGGCGUAAAGCGCGCGCAGGCGGUCGGUUAAGUCAGGUGUGAAAGGCUGCGGCUCAACCGCAGAGCGGCAUCUGAAACUGGUCGACUUGAGUGCAGGAGAGGGGAGCGGAAUUCCCGGUGUAGCGGUGGAAUGCGUAGAGAUCGGGAGGAACACCAGUGGCGAAGGCGGCUCUCUGGCCUGUAACUGACGCUGAGGCGCGAAAGCGUGGGUAGCAAACAGG
rnacentral:rRNA from 1 species